rnacentral:rRNA from 1 species
ACAAGCGGAGGAGCAUGUGGUUAAUUCGAUGAAUACGCGAGGAACCUUACCUGGGCUCGAACGUAAGAUGACUGUAGGUGAAAGCUUACAUCUCUUCGGAGCAUUUUACGAGGUGCUGCAUGGUUGUCGUCAGCUCGUGCCGUGAGGUGUCGGGUUAAGUCCCAUAACGAGCGCAACCCCUACCUUUAGUUGCCAUCAGGUUAAGCUGGGGACUCUAAAGGAACUGCCUACGCAAGUAGUGAGGAAGGCGGGGAUGACGUCAAAUCAGCACGGCCCUUACGUCCAGGGCUACACACGUGCUACAAUGGCCGAUACAGAGGGCAGCUACCUGGUGACAGGAUGCAAAUCUCCAAAGUCGGUCUCAGUUCGGAUCGGAGUCUGCAACCCGACUCCGUGAAGUUGGAUUCGCUAGUAAUCGCGCAUCAGCCAUGGCGCGGUGAAUACGUUCCCGGGCCUU